rnacentral:rRNA from 1 species
AUACGGAGGAUCCGAGCGUUAUCCGGAUUUAUUGGGUUUAAAGGGUGCGCAGGCGGCCAUUUAAGUCAGCGGUUAAAUCGUGGGGCUCAACCCCAUUCUGCCGUUGAUACUGGGUGGCUUGAUUGCGGUCGAGGUUGGCGGAAUUCGUUGUGUAGCGGUGAAAUGCAUAGAUAUGACGAAGAACACCGAUUGCGUAGGCAGCUGACCAGACCGCAAAUGACGCUCAUGCACGAAAGUGCGGGGAUCGAACAGGAUUAGAUACCCUAGUAGUCCGCACAGUAAACGAUGAAUACUUGUUUUCGGCGAUAUAAUGUCGGAGGCAAAGCGAAAGCGAUAAGUAUUCCACCUGGGGAGUACGCCGGCAACGGUGAAACUCAAAGGAAUUGACGGGG